rnacentral:rRNA from 1 species
CCUACGGGAGGCUGCAGUGAGGAAUAUUGGUCAAUGGACGAGAGUCUGAACCAGCCAAGUAGCGUGAAGGAUGACUGCCCUACGGGUUGUAAACUUCUUUUAUAUGGGAAUAAAGUGUUGCACGUAUGCGAUUUUGUAUGUACUUUAUGAAUAAGGAUCGGCUAACUCCGUGCCAGCAGCCGCGGUAAUACGGAGGAUCCGAGCGUUAUCCGGAUUUAUUGGGUUUAAAGGGAGCGUAGAUGGGUUGUUAAGUCAGUUGUGAAAGUUUGCGGCUCAACCGUAAAAUUGCAGUUGAUACUGGCAGUCUUGAGUACAGUAGAGGUGGGCGGAAUUCGUGGUGUAGCGGUGAAAUGCUUAGAUAUCACGAAGAACUCCGAUUGCGAAGGCAGCUCACUGGACUGCCACUGACAUUGAUGCUCGAAAGUGUGGGUAUCAAACAGGAUUAGAUACCCUAGUAGUC